ACGCUUAGGAAAAUAGAAAAGAACCUACGUGAUUAUCGGGGCAGGUCCCCCGAUAUCUGGCGCCCACGUGGUCUUUCUUUUUUCCUAAGUGCAUGAGGGAACCCGAUUCCCUUUGGUAGGUGCGGUGAAACAUCAAUCGGCUUGGUCCAAGAUAAGCGUGUUCAACUCCCCGACGAGUGGACAAAAUAUGAAACACCAAGAAAAAGAGAAGGAAAAAAAGGAGGAAACAACCACAUAUGUCACCUUUCCAAGAGGGGCUGAAACCGGGCUGACCCUUUUGAUUUCCAAACUCAGCGUUUUGGUGUAAGGCGGCCAAAGAAGGAUGCAGAGCCCAGCACUGUGAAGCCUACAAAAACAUUGAUGCGCUGGCUUGGGGAUUUGAAUUUGAACAUCUUUCACAGCAAGUUCAGACUCAUGAAACCAAUCUUCAGAUGCUCUGUAAACCACAUAAUAAAGAGUUUGGAAAUU
rnacentral:lncRNA from 1 species